rnacentral:rRNA from 1 species
UACGUAGGGUGCAAGCGUUGUCCGGAAUUAUUGGGCGUAAAGAGCUCGUAGGCGGUUUGUUGCGUCGGCUGUGAAAUCCCGAGGCUCAACCUCGGGUCUGCAGUCGAUACGAGCAAACUAGAGUGUUGCAGGGGAGACUGGAAUUCCUGGUGUAGCGGUGAAAUGCGCAGAUAUCAGGAGGAACACCCGGUGGGCGAAAGGCGGG